CGAUGGCUCACGCCUGUAAUCCCAGCACUUUGGGAGGCCAAGGCAGGCAGAUCACCUGAGGUCAGGAGUUUGAGACCAACCUGGCCAACAUAGUUAAACGCCGUCUCCACUAAAAAUACAAAAAAUUAGCUGGGCACGGUGGCGGGCGCCUGUAAUCCCAGCUGCUCGGGAGGCUGAGGCAGGAGAAUUGCUUGAAGCUGGGAGGCGGAGGUUGCAGUGAGCCGAGAUC
rnacentral:lncRNA from 1 species